GACGAACGCUGGCGGCGUGCUUAACACAUGCAAGUCGAACGGUAAGGCCCUUUCUUGGUUACACGCUUGGGGAACGGGCGAGUAACACGCGCGUGAUUUGCCUUCCCCUUUCUUAUGAGUCACGUCAACUAAGUCGAAUUCCGGACAGGACUGCGCUCCUCCUGCCGGGUGGUGGUAGGCUUGUGCGGUCUGGGAUGGACUCGCGGCCUAUCAGCUUGUUGGUGGGGUGGUGGCUUACCAAGGCGACGACGGGUAGCCGGCCUGAGAGGGUGUCCGGCCACACUGGGACUGAGAUACGGCCCAGACUCCUACGGGAGGCAGCAGUGGGGAAUAUUGCACAAUGGGCGCAAGCCUGAUGCAGCGACGCCGCGUGGGGGAUGACGGCCUUCGGGUUGUAAACCCCUUUCAGCAGAGACGAAGCGUAAGUGACGGUAUGUGCAGAAGAAGCACCGGCUAACUACGUG
rnacentral:rRNA from 1 species